UACGGAGGGAGCUAGCGUUGUUCGGAAUUACUGGGCGUAAAGCGCACGUAGGCGGCUUUGCAAGUUAGAGGUGAAAGCCCGGGGCUCAACUCCGGAAUUGCCUUUAAAACUGCAUCGCUAGAGUUGUGGAGAGGUAAGUGGAAUUCCGAGUGUAGAGGUGAAAUUCGUAGAUAUCAGGAGGAACACCGGUGGCGAAGGCGGCCACCUGGACGACAACUGACGCUGAGACGCGAAAGCGUGGGGAGCAAAC
rnacentral:rRNA from 1 species